UACUAAGAACCUGUAUGAUCUUACAAGAUGUUGUAAGACAAAAUGUCAAAUAAGAUUAUGACAAAUCUUACAAGAUCUUAUAAGAAUAACAAUGCCUGUUUAUAAUAGAAAAACUGAAUGGGUAUGGCAAUGAGCUGCCGAUUGUCAUUAUCAAUAAGAUUAAAGAUGGUACUAAUAUGAUUUCCUGAUGUAACAUCACAAAUUUGCUUGUUCCUGCAAGGUCGUACAUUAGUCAGAGGUGAUGAACCGUGAACUACUGGAAAGGUAUUAAUAAUGCAGAAGGGAUAUUCAGCAACAUAAAAGUUUACUAUUUCACCAUACUCGACAUUUAGUGUGUCAGAUAAAUAGUAACUGCAUAUUGUAUUGUUCCUUGCAUGGCCUUUUCUAUUAUAUUGCUUGCUAUGAUAUAUUGUGUUUGAAAACAUCAAUCUUUGAAAUAUGUAAACAUCUCCGCUAA